CCUGUCCUGUACUCCCAGGCUGUGUACUUGUUCACACGGCUCACUUUCCUGUGGGUGGGAAGCAGGACACCCUGCACGUAUCACACUUGGAGGGUGGAACCACGGGGUGGGAGCUGGAGUCUAGCGGAGUCUGUUCUCCAGCUGUCGUCGUUUCCAUCUCUCGUUCACUCACUCAACACCUUCAUUUGGCAUCUGCCUUCGGGGCAGAAGUCCCAAGAGCCGACAGUCUGAGGAGAUGGACAUUAAAUCAUCAGGCAAAUGAAAGCACUCAGGAGGCUGAGGCAGGAGGAUUGCUGUGAAUUGGAGGCCAGCCUGGGCUCCCCAGUGAAUUCAAGAACAGCCUAAACUGCUUAUUGAGACCCUGCCUCAAAAAACCAACAGAACAAAAUUAAGGAAGCAAAUUCUGCUGUAGGAACAACCCCCAAAUCGUGGUGGAUUAUGUGGUCAUUCUUCACUCACAUUACAAGUGUUGACUGCAGGCCAGCCUGAAGUCUUCUCUACAUGUCUUUGUCCUGGGAUCAUGGAGAACCCCUGGGACAGAAGCCAUGGUGACCACAGAAGAGCCAGCGACAGAACAGGCCAACAGCUUUGCAACUCAUGCUCAGAAUCAGCCCACCUCACUUCCACUCACAGCUCACCAGGGACCAGGCCUGCUGUUGGGGUCAGGACAGGGGGCUCCAUGUUGCAGGGACAGAGGAAAGACUCCAAGAAAAAAAGCUAAACAAGCUCUCCAGCCCCACUCGCCCUUGGUCAAUUUACAGUCACCAGUCCUCCACGCGCCCGGAGGACACAGUCCUGGCCCCACCUCCGUGCCGGACACAUCACCCAUCCCCAGGUGUGGGCUGUGAGGACAGUGCCUGGGUUACUUCCAGGGCACCUGAGGCCGUGUUUUGGAUUAAAAACUGGUGGCCAACUUAACACCAGCCAGAUUACAUCAGCACGGUGCUGAGCAUAGAUGCUCCACCUGAGGAAAGUUGCCAGCAUAAAUUGGUGGAGAAGAAGGGAGGUGUUGAGGGUUGAGGUGUUGUAGCAUUGUGGGUUCUCCUACAUGUUGCUGUUUGAGCCGUUGGUUUUCUUGGAGAAGCUCUGGUCCUCACAUCGAGCAUUGCUUCCUGGCUCCGGAGAGGAAGAUAUGUGCUGCUUGGUCUCCAGGAUAAACUUAUCACGCUGCUUCCUAGCACAUACCCGACUGUGCUUAUUGUGGGAGGAGCUCAGGGCCUCCGUGUCACUGAGGAUGGCUGUGGUGCCUUUCAGGACAGCCCUGGUCUCUGUUGUGAGUGUGAUGUUGCAGCUCCAGCAUAGAACCCUCAUCCCACCAGCACAGCUCCUUCACCCCACUGGCAUGGACUUUUUGGCUUCCACCGCUGACCUUUGUGCCUUCCCGUCACGGAUCUGUAAAGCAGACUGGCGUGAGUCCUUCUUCUGGGCUUUAGAUCUCCAGCUGGACUCAUGGGAGGCAUUGUCAUGAGCUCUGGAUUUUCGUCUGGGCUCAUGUGGGACAUUGCUGUGGGAGUCAGACCCUUGGCUGAAUAUUCUGUCUUUGGUAUUACAGAUAGAUUUCCUGCAGUUUCUUGUGCUAACUCUGGGUGACCGUGAUAAAAAUAGUAUUAUAAACUCCAUGUCCUGGUUCUAAUUGUUCUGUGCACCACCCUGACUAAAGCAGGCCAGUUCUGCUGAGCACAGCGAUGCUUCCCCAGGCCUGCAGCUGUCUGGUGGGCGGCUGGGGUGGGAUAAAAGGCCUGACACUCGUGCCUUUGUCAUAUCUGUCCCCUGUGCUGUCCUAGCCGUGGGGUUAGGUUCUGCUGGGCUUUGCACAUAGACUGUGGACCAUUGAAGAAAUGUGUCUGAGACCCCGACAUGGUGAUCUAGGCCCGUGGGAGCUGGACUGUGUCCUGCUUUCUCAGCAGCCCAAGCACUGGAUGUCCUUCCCUGUCCCAUGGCCGGAGCGUGUAUGUGGGAGAUGUUGCCAGUGGGAAGGGCAGCUCGGCAGACACUGAGAGAAUCAGACCUCCUGUUAGUCCACCACGCUCAAGGCCGGGAUGUGAGGACAGAGGCGCCAAACACACGAAAAUGCACCAAAUCUAGGACGAGAUGACCAUGACCGCCCAUGAUCCAAACCUGUUGUGUCUCUCAGAACAGAGCCUCUGGCCAUAGGAAUGACCGGACUUUAGUUCACCCCAGGAAUCAGCAAAACCCUGCCACUUUCUUCAGUCUACAAGAGCAGUUUGGUUGUGCUCUCAACUGACCACAGGCUCCCUUCUCCUUAAAGCCUAGAGUGGCUGCGGCCCUUCCCGGGGGAGAACCCCCUGCAGCCUCUGAGAUCUGAGCCAUGUUAGAACUUACGAAGCUGGGAACCAAGCAACCAGCCUGCCUCCCUGCCAAGCAAUAGUGAACCUACCGGUGUACGGCCUAGAGUCAAACAUCCCACUUCCCCUACCGGCCUUCUCCUGUCCCCCAUUAGCAAAUGGGAACCAGAAAUCUGAGCAUCUCUUGGGAGGUUGACCAUAGAAAAUAAGGGGGAUUUCCUUCUCCAUCUCUUUGAAGACAAAUGUUUUUAUUAACUGCUUUGCUCUAUUCUGAUUAAUGGUACUGAUCUAUUCAAUAUUCUGUUUUGAUAAGUUCUAUAAUGUUCUGUAUUUCAUUUUAUCUUGAUAUACGUGAUUGAAAGAACAACUAUUGUAAAGAUAACAAAAUAUACUAUGAUACUUAUUACUGU